UGGGGGAUAUUGCACAAUGGGCGAAAGCCUGAUGCAGCGACGCCGCGUGGGGGAUGAAGGCUUUCGGGUUGUAAACCUCUUUCGCUAUCGAACAAGGCCCGCUUAGGGUGGGUUGAGGGCAGGUGGAGAAGAAGCGCCGGCUAACUACGUGCCAGCAGCCGCGGUAAUACGUAGGGCGCGAGCGUUGUCCGGAAUUAUGGGGCGUAAAGGGCUUGUAGGCGGCUUGUUGCGCCUGCUGUGAAAACGCGGGGCUUAACUUCGCGCGUGCAGUGGGUACGGGCAGGCUUGAGUGUGGUAGGGGUGACUGGAAUUCCAGGUGUAGCGGUGGAAUGCGCAGAUAUCUGGAGGAACACCGAUGGCGAAGGCAGGUCACUGGGCCAUUACUGACGCUGAGGAGCGAAAGCAUGGGUAGCGAACAGG
rnacentral:rRNA from 1 species